rnacentral:rRNA from 1 species
GCGUGGGAACCUGCCCUUUAGUAGAGAAUAACUCGGGGAAACCCGAGCUAAUACUUUACACGCCCUUCGGGGGAAAGCUUUAUGCGCUAUUGGAUGGGCCCGCGUUAGAUUAGUUUGUUGGUGAGGUAACGGCUCACCAAGGCUACGAUCUAUAGCCGGUCUGAGAGGAUGAUCAGCCACACUGGGACUGAGACACGGCCCAGACUCCUACGGGAGGCAGCAGUGGGGAAUAUUGGACAAUGGGGGCAACCCUGAUCCAGCGAUGCCGCGUGAGUGAUGAAGGCCUUAGGGUUGUAAAGCUCUUUUGUCAGGGAAGAUAAUGACGGUACCUGAAGAAUAAGAUCCGGCUAACUCCGUGCCAGCAGCCGCGGUAAUACGGAGGGAUCUAGCGUUAUUCGGAAUUACUGGGCGUAAAGCGAGCGUAGGCUGAUUUGUAAGUUGGAUGUGAAAUCCCAGAGCUUAACUCUGGAACUGCAUC